rnacentral:rRNA from 1 species
GCAGCUUGCUGCUUCGCUGACGAGUGGCGGACGGGUGAGUAAUGUCUGGGAAGCUGCCUGAUGGAGGGGGAUAACUACUGGAAACGGUAGCUAAUACCGCAUAAUGUCGCAAGACCAAAGAGGGGGACCUUCAGGCCUCUUGCCAUCGGAUGUGCCCAGAUGGGAUUAGCUUGUUGGUGGGGUAACGGCUCACCAAGGCGACGAUCCCUAGCUGGUCUGAGAGGAUGACCAGCCACACUGGAACUGAGACACGGUCCAGACUCCUACGGGAGGCAGCAGUGGGGAAUAUUGCACAAUGGGCGCAAGCCUGAUGCAGCCAUGCCGCGUGUAUGAAGAAGGCCUUCGGGUUGUAAAGUACUUUCAGCGGGGAGGAAGGGAGUAAAGUUAAUACCUUUGCUCAUUGACGUUACCCGCAGAAGAAGCACCGGCUAACUCCGUGCCAGCAGCCGCGGUAAUACGGAGGGUGCAAGCGUUAAUCGGAAUUACUGGGCGUAAAGCGCACGCAGGCGGUUUGUUAAGUCAGAUGUGAAAUCCCCGGGCUCAACCUGGGAACUGCAUCUGAUACUGGCAAGCUUGAGUCUCGUAGAGGGGGGUAGAAUUCCAGGUGUAGCGGUGAAAUGCGUAGAGAUCUGGAGGAAUACCGGUGGCGAAGGCGGCCCCCUGGACGAAGACUGACGCUCAGGUGCGAAAGCGUGGGGAGCAAACAGGAUUAGAUACCCUGGUAGUCCACGCCGUAAACGAUGUCGACUUGGAGGUUGUGCCCUUGAGGCGUGGCUUCCGGAGCUAACGCGUUAAGUCGACCGCCUGGGGAGUACGGCCGCAAGGUUAAAACUCAAAUGAAUUGACGGGGGCCCGCACAAGCGGUGGAGCAUGUGGUUUAAUUCGAUGCAACGCGAAGAACCUUACCUGGUCUUGACAUCCACGGAAGUUUUCAGAGAUGAGAAUGUGCCUUCGGGAACCGUGAGACAGGUGCUGCAUGGCUGUCGUCAGCUCGUGUUGUGAAAUGUUGGGUUAAGUCCCGCAACGAGCGCAACCCUUAUCCUUUGUUGCCAGCGGUCCGGCCGGGAACUCAAAGGAGACUGCCAGUGAUAAACUGGAGGAAGGUGGGGAUGACGUCAAGUCAUCAUGGCCCUUACGACCAGGGCUACACACGUGCUACAAUGGCGCAUACAAAGAGAAGCGACCUCGCGAGAGCAAGCGGACCUCAUAAAGUGCGUCGUAGUCCGGAUUGGAGUCUGCAACUCGACUCCAUGAAGUCGGAAUCGCUAGUAAUCGUGGAUCAGAAUGCCACGGUGAAUACGUUCCCGGGCCUUGUACACACCGCCCGUCACACCAUGGGAGUGGGUUGCAAAAGAAGUAGGUAGCUUAACCUUCGGGAGGGCGCUUACCACUUUGUGAUUCAUGACUGGGGUGAAGUCGUAACAAGGUA